UACGGAGGGUGCGAGCGUUGUCCGGAAUCACUGGGCGUAAAGGGCGCGUAGGCGGCCUGAUAAGUAGGGGGUGAAAUCCUGCGGCUUAACCGCAGGGGCUGCCUUCUAAACUGUCAGGCUCGAGCACAGUAGAGGCAGGUGGAAUUCCCGGUGUAGCGGUGGAAUGCGUAGAUAUCUGGAGGAACACCGGUGGCGAAGGCGGCGAUCCUGGACCGGCAUUGACGCCUGAGGCGCGAAAGCUAGGGGGAGCAAACGGG
rnacentral:rRNA from 1 species